GUAGCCAUUGGCUGGAGGAGAAGGUGGAACCCAGUCUGUGUUUCGUCUCUUUCAUCUUAGUGCGCUAGUUGUCAUGUCUACGCGGUCAUCCGGUGGCAGGUUUCUCUAUUCGCUUGACAAGACGGGCAUGUCAACGCGGGAUGUAAUAAGGUGCCCUCAAACCCUUUUCCUAGCUACUACUUCUUCGAAGUUCAAUCAAUCGAUAAAUAUGCUAAACAGUUCCGCAUGAUUUCGAGCGGCUUACAGAUUUUACAGUUUGUGUUUGCGACGACCAAAACGACGCAUUUCUGAGUUCGGCAGUAAAAGCUUCAAGCUCGCUCAGCAACAGCACAAGCAGUUGAGUUUGGCUUCCAACGGGGGAAUAAAGAACAUCAUUCAUAAGUCAGGGUCAGCCAUCUUCCAAAGCGACAAAUGUCACCCCGUCGGCAGUUAUGAAUAAACCAGGAAUGGAGUGCGGUAGCUUUCCGCGCUUUGUAAGCUUUGCUCGGUGUGCACUAGAAGAGUGUCCCUUAAAGAAGCUUUUUUCUUCUAGUCAAAAAAACACACAGAGACACACAGAGAAGGCCGCAACAAGCAACAUUGCAAACGAGAUGCUGUUCGUCCCCCUCCGUAGAAGCGAAUAUGACUUUAUUUGGGUUGCGAAAUGGGUGUUUGUGUGUGAGUGGAGAUGUUUGCCGUACAUCCCUAAGCAGCUGGCGAGAUUUAUUCCGUCCAACAUGAAGCAUGGGGAGCAGUCGACAGCUUCAUCAGCGCCCUACUUGGUCCCGAUUGGGUGGCUAAGCAAUUUCGCUUUUCUUUUAAGGGGCUGUUAACUUAACGAGAGCCCGGUUGCAGUAGAGGAACACCCCAUUCGAACACGCACCGGUGAUAGCACCUUCAUUACUUAAUUGGUUCGCACAGGCUGCCUGCACAAAUGGCGUUUUGUGAGAAAUGUUCACAAAUGGCCCCAAUGAUUGAUGUAUUGAUGGGUAAUUUUUCAUCAUCUCGUUUAGACCCCUUUCGCCGGCAGCACCGGGAAGGGUGACACUUGCGUAACUCCAAGCGAAGAACUUGAUUGCAUCAUCCAACACCAUCGGGAAUGCUCGUACCGCACAGCGCAAGGAUGAAAUGAUACCCAGAGAGAGAGAUGGAGAGGUUCCAUUUUGCUGAUCUAAUCCAACAAGCUGCCGCCGCCGCCAUUCGUUCAUUAUUCACACGGUGGAGAACUAACUAAAACCGGGAUGAUUAAUUGCUUUCCGGCGAUACGGGUGCACAGCUUUUGGGCCGGCCACGCGCGCACAGCUGUUGAACAUCCCGCGCUGUUUCGAUCGCACGAUCAUCGUUCCCAACGCGGAUCGCGCUCAGUUGCUGGCGCAUAUCAAACCCCGCGGGAGGGAGAUUUCGUUUUUGGUGUGAGAUCUUUUUAUUCAUACCGAAUAAAAAAAAAAAACAGACACACACUCACUAACUCAUUCUUGACCCAAAGGGAUAUCUUCGCAGUUCGCUGGUUUCGUUGCUACGUUUGUACGAUCGCGUACAAGCAAUAAACACUUCCGUGCGCGCGCGCGCGCGCUCACACACGCUCUGUGAUCUGUAAUUCACGGCACGAAGCGUGUUGUGUCUAGUGUCCCGGCCAUCGACGGUGAAUGGCAAUGAAGCAUAACGCCACCCACUCAAUUUCUGCGGCGGAACGGUUGGGCCGGGACCACACCACGCGCGCGCACAAGGCGUCGAGCCGUGAAAAUCGUUCCUCUAGUCAUAGUGUUUAUUAUGAAUUAUCCAAUUUGCAUACUUAUGUGCAUGCACACUGCGGCACGGCUACGGCACGGUUCACCCGCAUUGAGGAGGACGUCUGUCAAAACAUACUAGAGAGGAGAGGGGGAGGGAUGUUUUGCGCCCACAAGCCUCUCAUUUCCCCCCUCUCUUCACACCGAAGCUAUUGAUCGAUUA